UGUCCACAGGGCCACGUGUACAACUCCACAUCUCGUAUCAGGAAUCGGAAGGAGAAGCGAUCAUGGUUGGGCUUCGCUCAGGGGUAUUUGUUGUAUCGGGACACAAGUAACCACAGCAUGUCAGCUGUCAAGAUCAACCCAGAAACUUUGGAGCACGAGGGGACUGUCGCCAUGCCAGGUCACCACUCA